CCCAAGCAUCCACCUCCUUGGCAGCCCGAGUCUCCAUGCACUGGAGCAGAUUUAAGACAAAUACGAGAAAAAAGUUGGAUACUCGCUCAGCUCAUUGCAGAACUCAGAUAUGACAAAGAAUUCUGCAAUAUGUACUCCUCCUGCUCAUGGGUCCUGGGAGAUAUGUGCAUGAGUUUCUCUAGGGUACGUACCAAGCAGUGGAUCAACCACAUCGAAGGGUUUGUACGUCAUUUAAACUCCUGAGAGCACUGAAGAAAAGUUCACUCCACAUCCUCACCAUCACUUGGAUGUUCGAAGCCAUUAAAAUUUCAGUGUGGUUUUUGCUUUUUAAUAUUGUGCAAUUGAAUAUAAAUACUUGCAAAUGAUAGAGAUGGCAUAGGCCUUUGAACUAAAUGAACAGUAGGUGAAGUUAUCUGAACGAGCUUCUCCCCACCCCUGGGUGCG
rnacentral:lncRNA from 1 species